GAGCUCAUGCUACACAAUUAAAUAUAUUCCUUAAAUAUUGUGUGCUUGCAACUUUUGAUUUUGUAAAUGGGUUCCCACAGGACAAAAAUGAGUCUUAAACAUAAAAUUAAACCAUAUGAAUGUUAGUUUUUUAGUUAAUUUCAGCUGGGUGGUAGUCUAUAGUCCCAGCUACUCGAGAGGCUGAGGCAGAAGGAUCGCUUGAGCCCAGGAGUUCAGGGCUGCAGUGAGCUGUGAUCACACCACUGCACUCCAGCCUGGGGGAAGAGCAAGACCCUACAAACAAAAAAGAGUUAAUUCCAUUAUAUUUAUUUUUACAUACCCAGAGUUUGACUAAAAUAUACCAGACAAUCUCCUGUCCCCAAAUCCAUGUCCAAGCAAGGGGAGCCACGUUUUCUAAGCUCACAGUUUAAAGGUUAAAGAGACACACUGAGGAAAACUCAGGGAAAGAAGCUGAUUUGCAUGGACACUAGGCCUGUCGUUGAUUCCCUCAUUUCAAAAGUUGCAUGUGCCAUGGGAGGCGGAGUCUCUGAGGACAUCCUGGCUGUGCCUCGGCGGCUCUGGACUCCAGCUCUACGCAGAGCGCCUUAACACUGUACUGGAAGAAAUGGGAAAUCGCAUUGAGGACUUACAGAAGAAUGUCAAGGACUUAAUGGUGCAAGCUGGCAUUGAAAAUUCUAUUAAAGAACAAAUGCUGAAGACCUAACUGCAGCAUGUCUGUAUUUGGAGAUGGGGCCUCUACAGAAGUCAUUAAGGUUACAUCGGUCCUGAGGGUGGGGCCCUCAUCCAACAGGAUUCGUCUUUCUGAGAAGAGACGCAAGGGGCUCGCCUGCUCUCCCCUCCGUGCCUGCACCAGAGAAGGAGGCCAUCGGCAAGCCAAGGAGAGCCCUCCCCAGAAAUCACACGGACCAGCACCUUGAUCUGGGACUUCCAGAAAACAGAACUGUGAAAAGACAAGUUUCUGUUGUUUAAACCACCCAAUCUGAAGUAUUUUGUUAUGGCAGUCCUGGGCAGACUAAUACAAUAUGCAACACAUUUACAAUAAAUAUACAAUAAACUU
rnacentral:lncRNA from 10 species